rnacentral:rRNA from 1 species
AGUGAACGCUGGCGGUAGACCUAACACAUGCAAGUCGAACGGCAGCACAGUAAGAGCUUGCUCUUACGGGUGGCGAGUGGCGGACGGGUGAGGAAUACAUCGGAAUCUACUUUUUCGUGGGGGAUAACGUAGGGAAACUUACGCUAAUACCGCAUACGACCUACGGGUGAAAGCAGGAGAUCUUCGGACCUUGCGCGAUUGAAUGAGCCGAUGUCGGAUUAGCUAGUUGGCGGGGUAAAGGCCCACCAAGGCGACGAUCCGUAGCUGGUCUGAGAGGAUGAUCAGCCACACUGGAACUGAGACACGGUCCAGACUCCUACGGGAGGCAGCAGUGGGGAAUAUUGGACAAUGGGCGCAAGCCUGAUCCAGCCAUACCGCGUGGGUGAAGAAGGCCUUCGGGUUGUAAAGCCCUUUUGUUGGGAAAGAAAAGCAGCAGGUUAAUACCCCGCUGUUCUGACGGUACCCAAAGAAUAAGCACCGGCUAACUUCGUG